CAAUAGCGUAUAUUAAAGUUGUUGCGGUUAAAAAGCUCGUAGUUGGAUUUCUGCCGAGGACGACCGGUCCGCCCUCUGGGUGAGCAUCUGGCUCGGCCUGGGCAUCUUCUUGGAGAACGUAUCUGCACUUGACUGUGUGGUGCGGUAUCCAGGACUUUACUUGAGGAAAUUAGAGUGUUUCAAGCAGGCAUACGCCUUGAAUACAUUAGCAUGGAAUAAUAAGAUAGGACCUCGGUUCUAUUUUGUUGGUUUCUAGAGCUGAGGUACUGAUGAAUAGGAUAUUAGGGGGCAUUUCGGGUGCAAUUUUAACCGUUGAUUUCAAACGUAGGGUUGCAAAAGUUACUUGGGGAUUUUGGUUAAAAAAUUCGUUAGGCAUUUGGGACUUUAAAAGACCUGGGCAGCAAAGCUAAUUUGCCCAAGGUGCAUGGAAAGUUUUCCAAUUUUUGGCCAAAUCAAGGGAAACUGGAAACUUUUUUUCAAUUGGGGGAAUUCCGAAAAGGAAACGAAAUCG
rnacentral:rRNA from 1 species